rnacentral:rRNA from 1 species
AGUGAACGCUGGCGGCAGGCCUAACACAUGCAAGUCGAGCGGCAGCGGGUCCUUCGGGAUGCCGGCGAGCGGCGGACGGGUGAGGAAUGCGUCGGAAUCUGCCUUUUUGUGGGGGAUAACGUAGGGAAACUUACGCUAAUACCGCAUACGACCUACGGGUGAAAGUGGGGGACCGCACGGCCUCACGCAGAAAGAUGAGCCGACGCCUGAUUAGCUAGUUGGCGGGGUAAAGACCCACCAAGGCGACGAUCCGUAGCUGGUCUGAGAGGAUGAUCAGCCACACUGGAACUGAGACACGGUCCUGACUCCUACGGGAGGCAGCAGUGGGGAAUAUUGGACAAUGGGCGCAAGCCUGAUCCAGCCAUGCCGCGUGUGUGAAGAAGGCCUUCGGGUUGUAAAGCACUUUUGUCCGGAAAGAAAUCCAAUCGAUUAAUACUCGGUUGGGAUGACGGUACCGGAAGAAUAAGCACCGGCUAACUUCGUGCCAGCCGCCGCCGUAAGAC